UAAUUUGUUAGCAUUUCUUAUGGUUAUAUAGCUGUCUCAAGAUUUUACUGUGAAUAUUCUAUAUUUUCUUCUUCAUGGGCGUAAUACGUUUUACUUUUAAAAGGCUUAGAGCAGUCCCUGAUCCCUUUCAUAUAUUUAUGUGUACGGUAUUCUGAGCUUCUAUCUGUGGCUUUUAGGGAAAUAGAAAUAAAGGGAAAAGAAAUAUGGAAAAUGUACAUCCAUAAUGAGUUUAUGGGAGAUAUUGGUUGUUACCUCAUGUAAGUCUGUUGCAAAUAACAGAAAUGAACUUGAGCAAGUUUUUAGCAAAAGAAAAGUAAAGAAGGAAGAAAAGAACUUGUUGGAAGACCUUUGGAAGCCAAGUGCAGACAGAUCUUAUUAGGGCCUGGGGCCAGGGACUGGAAAACCUGUAACAUUCCCGGAUUGUAGUUUUUGCUUUUCUUUAUUUCAUUGUUCUCUCUUUGCUGACCGUUUUUUGUGUUUGUCUUUUUGUCUGUUAUCUUUCAGGGUUGAAUAUAACUGCUCAGCAGUUCAUCCUCUUUUGUUUCCAGUUCAGGGCGUUCAGGUGGUUGAGGGAGCUUCACUCCUUCAUCUUGGACGUCAUCUGCUGGCUUCCAGUGCAAGUCCCUCAGCCUUUUGGCACAGAUGUUUCAGCUUCCAGCACUGGCCCUUAGGCCUUCCCAGCACAGAUCCUUCAGUCUCCCAUCACGGAUCCUUCAGUCUCCUGAUAUGGACUUGCAUGGGACAUUGCCAUGGGCUCCAAGCCCUCCACUGGAUCCUUUGGGUCUCCAGCUUACAGACAGUUGUCUUGCACUCUCCUCCAUCUGACUCUGUUCUGAGAUUGCAAGAUGGUAAGAAGAAAGUCCAGCUAUUCCUGGAGGAACGAAAGAGAAACAGUGCAAGCUAGAGUCUUGGGAGAGGUAAAGCCCCCAGCUCUCCUAGGCCGGGAUGGCGUUGUGAUGACUUCAGAGGACAGUGUGAGAGGCCACCCACCACACCUAUGUCACUGAAUGAGAAGUUCUGGAAACCUCCGGGCCUCUGUGUGAGAUUCUUCCUGGCAGACAGAGUGCUCUGGGGAUGGAGGGCUGUGGAGAUGGCAUGUUCUGCCACCUGGUGCCCUGAUUCUGCCCGUCCCACAGACAGUGGUGCACAGGGGUUGGUACCCACCUGGCAGAAAGGAGCAGGGAAGAGGUGCCCAGCUUAGAGAGGAUGCCACACUCCUGAGGCUGAACUUGUUGCAGAGAGAGAGGCUCUGGCGUGCUUGGCAGUAGCAGAGGCUGUGCUGGGGCUGCUUCUGGGUGAGGGACACACAGGAGGGUGGCAGCACCGUGUUCUGAAAAGCAGCAUCAAUCACAGCUAUGCCCUCUGACCACUCUCGAAAGUCAGCCUUGGACACAGUAGGUGUGCUCUAGGGAUUUUCUGGGAAGGGGAAUGUGGACACUGGGUUUGAAGCCAGUAUCUCAAACAUACGAAGUGCAGGCUUUCCCACUGGGUUACACCCCCAGCCCAAGACGAGCUUUCGAAGAGGGGAUUCUGGAGCUGGGAAGGAGCAGCACAUUCACUAAGCACAUUUCACAGGCUCUCUGGCUCAUCAGGUUGCAGACCAGACACACUCAAUAAAUACGUGAACUGUCCUUAGAGUAAACAGAAAAAUGAUGCUAGUUAUUCUGGGACUGGAGACAAGAAGAACAAGUCAGAUCUGAACAGAAAAUGAUAAAACCUGCCCUAGUCAAAGCCAAAACACAUCUGUGGGUCAUAUUCUAUUUCUCUAUAUCCUGUAUAACUUCUGUCUAGUGGGUAUGUCUGAUUCUGAAAUAAAUAUACUGGAAAUAUCUUAGUUAUAUUUUUGUCAUUCUCCAUGGAUUUAUUUGUAUUUGAUGUUAAUUUAUCUACACACUUCUUUAUAUCAAAUUUCUACAUAUGCAUAUAUAUACAUAAAAUAGCAUUAAUUUGAAUGCUUCUAGCUCUAUGUAAAUAGUGUAAUUAUUUAUAUUAUUAUACAGCUCACUUUAAAAGGAGACAUCCCACUAGGGCCCAUAUUUAAUAAUAUGCAAGGAAAUGAGGCUAUUUUCUAUGAAAUUUUAAGCAAGCAGAAAGGAUCUGGAAUGCUUUGAAAAGAUGAACAUUUAAAAAAUUCAAAUAAUUUUAUCAAGCAGAAAUGAUUUCUUGUCAAAGGAAAGUAGGCAGGAAUAUUAAAAUACUAAACUGACACAGUUCCCAAAAUAAUUCAAUAAAACUAAAAUCCCUAUUCAAAUGCAUAAGUUCAGAACAUUCUUUGAAAGCUGAAUAGUGAAAGUUCAUGAGAAUUGUUUAUUCUUUCAUCGUUUCCUUUUAAACUGCUCUUUGAAUAGCUGUUGUACAUACAAAACAGGACUCAUCAGUAACUAGUUUCCAUUUUAAAAUAUAUAUUACGAUGAUCAGAAGCAAUUGUUAGAGGAAAUCUCAGGCCACAAUAUUAAUGAAAAACUGUUUUCCCCCGUAUUAACAUCAGAGAGGAGCAAUUGGGCUGUGUAUUUGUCCAUUAGAAAAUCACUUGACACUGAGCAAUUUAACUGGAAAUUUUUAGUUUGGAACCAAUUUCUACUGGCAUGCAAGACUCCAAGACCUUAUAAAAGAAAGAAGACUUCAUGGCUUUAUUAGUGGUGUGAGCUAUGGUCUUUGUUUCCCUUUUUAAAAACUUUGUUCUAUUUUCCCUCAACUUUCUCAUAUUUUGAGAAAGGACACUUAAAUUUGCAACAUUUUAAAUUUAAGUAUUGUGUCCACAUACAUAAUCCUAGUAUUAAAAAUUCUUUUACUGAGCCUGGAGGACAUUACAUAAACCAAGAUAAUCAGGCACUGAAAGACAAAUAAAUGUGCAAGUUCCUACUUGUGUGGAAGCUGAAGCUGAUCUUGUAGAAGUUGAGUGGAAUAGUGGUUACCACAACCUGGGGAGGGUUGAGGGGCCACAGAAUGGAAACGAUGGUUAAUGGGCACUGAGAUGCAAUUGCAUAGGAGAAGUGACUUCUAGAUGUAGCGCAGAGGGAUAACUAUGGUUGACAACAAUUACUUGUGUAUCUCAGAUAGCUGGCAGAGAAGAUUUUCAGAUAUUCCCAGCACAGAAAAAUAAUAAAUGUUUGGAAUGAUGGCUAUGCCAAUUACCUGAAUUGAUCACUACACUUUGUACAGAUGUAUUGAAAUGUUACCUGUACCCCCAAAACAUGUAUUAUAGACAGCUAAGCUAGGUAGAAAUAUUAUAGGCAGUCAGAUGGGGCCAGGCCCUCGACAGAGUCAGCACAAAAGAUAAGAACACAUUACACAUUACAGUAGCCGGAGAUGCAUCCAUUGGAGAACAGGCCUCAAAAUAAAGAUGAAAUGACCAGGCCUGCAUACUUCUGCAAAAGACAAGAUAAGAGGUCACACCUGGCCUAGUGAGAUCUAGAUAGACAUUAGUCACCCUGGUGGGUGACCAGGACCUCUGGAUGCAUCAUUCCUUAAAAAAGUCUUUGUUCUUUCCAUGCACACUUGUUGCAUGACUUGUUCCCCCACUGGAUCACUAUGACCUAAGUGAUUAUACUUGUAACCUUAUUGAUUAUGCUUUAUAAAGCUUUCCUGUCAAGUGGGGUCCUUGGCUACCCAUUCGGGACCCCUCCUGCCUCUCAGGAGCGAUCCUCUCAAUAAAUCCUUCCUACUUGUAACCUCCCUUGUUCCUAAAAUUCAUUCU
rnacentral:lncRNA from 1 species